rnacentral:lncRNA from 1 species
CCCGGCGUGGACGUGAGCCGGCCUCGGCUGGUGCUGCCGCGGCUGGCGCUGCCUGUGGGGCACUACUGCUUUGUGUUUGUCGUGUCAUUUGGGGACACGCCACUGACACAGAGCAUCCAGGCCAAUGUGACGGUGGCCCCCGAGCGCCUGGUGCCCAUCAUUGAGGGUGGCUCAUACCGCGUGUGGUCAGACACACGGGACCUGGUGCUGGAUGGGAGCGAGUCCUACGACCCCAACCUGGAGGACGGCGACCAGACGCCGCUCAGUUUCCACUGGGCCUGUGUGGCUUCGACACAGAGGGAGGCUGGCGGGUGUGCGCUGAACUUUGGGCCCCGCGGGAGCAGCACGGUCACCAUUCCACGGGAGCGGCUGGCGGCUGGCGUGGAGUACACCUUCAGCCUGACCGUGUGGAAGGCCGGCCGCAAGGAGGAGGCCACCAACCAGACGUGCUGGUGGAGGCCGCACGCUCUCCCCUCUCUGUUUCUGAUGCAAAUUCUAUGUAACACGACAGCCUGCUUCAGCUUUGCUUCCUUCCAAACCUGCCACAGUUCCACGUACAGUCUUCAAGCCACAUAUGCUCUAGUGGCAAAAGCUACACAGUCCCCUAGCAAUACCAACAGUGAGGAAGAGCCCCUUCCCACCCCAGAGGUAGCCACUGUCCCCAGCC